AUUUAUAUAGUUUAAAAAAACGUAACACUUUCAUUGUUAAAUUGGAAAAUUUUCCUUUAAAUA
rnacentral:tRNA from 1 species